rnacentral:rRNA from 1 species
AACGAACGCUGGCGGCAGGCCUAACACAUGCAAGUCGAACGCCCGUAGCAAUACGGGAGUGGCGGACGGGAGAGAAACGCGUGGGUAUCUACCUAGCAGUACGGAAUAACCGCGGGAAACUGCGGCUAACACCGUAUACGCCCUACGGGGGAAAGAUUUAUCGCUGCUAGAUGAGCCCGCGUCCGAUUAGCUAGUUGGCGGGGUAAUGGCCCACCAAGGCUAUGAUCGGUAGCUGGUCUGAGAGGACGAUCAGCCUCACUGGGACUGAGACACGGCCCAGACUCCUACGGGAGGCAGCAGUGGGGAAUAUUGGACAAUGGGGGAAACCCUGAUCCAGCCAUGCCGCGUGGGUGAUGAAGGCCUUCGGGUUGUAAAGCCCUUUUGGCGGGGACGAUAAUGACGGUACCCGCAGAAUAAGCCCCGGCUAACUUCGUGCCAGCCGCCGCGGUAACAC